rnacentral:rRNA from 1 species
UCGUAACAAGGUUUCCGUAGGUGAACCUGCGGAAGGAUCAGU